GACGUCGAAAGACUUCGAGUCACCUUUUCACUUGAGCAGUUUUUGCCAGGAGCAGAAUAUGUAAAGGAACACCGUCCUGUGCUACUCUCCUUCUGAAUGUUCCUAGCGGCAGCGAUUGCACUUCUUGAGGCAGUGAAUUGAACAUCUUUAGGGCAACCACUGGAAAGCUGUCUUGCGAUCCCGUCAGUUGACACCUGGGUAUUUCGGUGCUCCUCUUGUUACAGAUGGGAAGUGAGCUGUUGCGCUCGUUAUGUCCUCUACCACCUCAUCCUGUUUGAGAUGAUCGAGUUCCUGCUUUAUUUGGCUUCAGUGAAAUGUGUG